GGGGGUGCAGGGCAUGAGAAGGCUGCAGGGCAGGCAGGACAGGGGCAGUCACAACACUCCUUCAUUAAUACUGUUCAUGACUUGAAGAAACCUCUGAGUGAACUUUGGAUCUGAUGGUUUCAGGGUGAAUUUAUUAAAGUUGAGGGUAUUCAUAUUAAAAUAAUAUAAACUAGAUUUUGCCUGGGACAUGGGUACUCAUGCCAUGUGGUAUGUGCUCCACAGACAGCUUGUGUGUGCGCGUGUGUGUGUUUGUGUGUGUGUGUGUGUGAGAGAGAGAGCUGUUAUAACUCGAUAUUUGGAAAAAUGCCAUGUUUUUCCAUUUGCUUACAGUUUCCUUUUGACCCCAGAGAAGACUUUUUUUUUUUUUAGCUCUAUGAGCAGCUAUCCAGAGAAGAUUUUCUGAUGCAUUUGUCACUAGGAGCUGCCAGG
rnacentral:lncRNA from 10 species